rnacentral:rRNA from 1 species
CAGUAGCCGCGGGAAUACGAGGGGGGCAAGCGUUGUUCGGAAUUAUUGGGCGUAAAGGGUGCGUAGGCGGUCUGAUAAGUCUGAUGUGAAAUCGAUGGGCUCAACCCAUCGUCUGCAUUAGAAACUGUCGGGCUUGAGUGUGGGAGAGGUGAGUGGAAUUUCCGGUGUAGCGGUGAAGUGCGUAGAGAUCUGGAGGAAUACCGGUGGCGAAGGCGGCCCCCUGGACAAAGACUGACGCUCAGGUGCGAAAGCGUGGGGAGCAAACAGGAUUAGAUACCCGGGUAGUCCCUGUCUCUUAUAA